GUGGCUGCAGGCCGUUUCUUUGCAACUCAUGAUUCAUCUAACUGCUCGUGGCACAGAUGAGAUCAAAGCCCAGAGAAGGUGAGCCACCAGCCCCAGGUCACAGAGCACAGGAAGUGAAGAGGAAACAGUGACCUUUCUCCUUCGGCUGCAGCCCUGUUGCCCAAGCUCAGGGCAACCCCUGAGCCCUGAUCCCAAGGGAGGCAGUGCCGCCUUCUCCUCUAGGCCUGGCAGUUCCAGGGUGACAGGAAGGUCACGAUAUCUCUGUUUGGGUGCACUGCAGCCUCCGCUUCCUGCCAGGACCAGGCUGUAUCAGGCACUGGGAUGAAGAAAACAUUCCAAGCAAUGGGCUGGCCUAGAAGACUCUCCAGGUCAUGAUGUGACCAAGGUUGCCCCUUGCCACUCCCAGCUUUAUUCUCACCAGCUCAGCAACCCCAGGGAAAAGGGAGCACCAAUUUCCAAUUGUUUCAGAACAAGGAAACUAUUGCUGCAUCCCAAGAGUCCCGCAUGCAGUAGCUCAUCAACUGGUCACAAGGACGUUAGAGAACAGACCUCAGGAGCGCACAUGCACAGAGGGAUGACCGUGUGCAGAGGCAGCAAGAGGGUCGCCAUCUGCAGGCCAAAGAGAGAGGCCUUGACGGAAAUCAACCCUGACAGCCGGCAUCUCGAGCUUGGACUUCCAGCCUCCAGCACUGUGAGAUAAUAACUGUGUUGCUUAAGCCACCCGGUCUGUGGUCUUUUGCUAUGGCAGUUCUAGCGAACAAAUAUAGUCUCUUUCCCUGCACACCUAGAAGAGUUCCUGGGAAGAUGCCCAUAUGCCUGGCUUGGUUCACUUCCCGUCUGUUACCAAUUGCUGUGGCCACCAGAUGCUGAACUCUAAUCGGUCAGGCCUUGGCCAAGUGCUCAUCCCUGGAGCUAGGGAUGGGCUCAGCCUGCCAACCUGGGUUCACUUUUCCUUGUUUGAUUAAAAAUUUUAAUUUAAAGCAAGUGACGGCUGGAUGCAAUGGCUCACUUCUAUAAUUCCAACCUUUUGGGAGGCCAAGGUGGAAGGAUCACUUCAGCCCCAGAGUUCGAGACCAGCCUGGGCAACACAGCGAAAC
rnacentral:lncRNA from 10 species